UACGAAGGGGGCUAGCGUUGUUCGGAAUCACUGGGCGUAAAGGGCGCGUAGGCGGCCGAUCAAGUCGGGGGUGAAAGCCUGUGGCUCAACCACAGAAUUGCCUUCGAUACUGUUUGGCUUGAGACCGGAAGAGGUUAGUGGAACUGCGAGUGUAGAGGUGAAAUUCGUAGAUAUUCGCAAGAACACCAGUGGCGAAGGCGGCUGACUGGUCCGG
rnacentral:rRNA from 1 species